rnacentral:rRNA from 1 species
GAUGAACGCUGGCGGCGUGCCUAAUACAUGCAAGUCGAGCGAACGGACGAGAAGCUUGCUUCUCUGAUGUUAGCGGCGGACGGGUGAGUAACACGUGGAUAACCUACCUAUAAGACUGGGAUAACUUCGGGAAACCGGAGCUAAUACCGGAUAAUAUUUUGAACCUCAUGGUUCAAAAGUGAAAGACGGUCUUGCUGUCACUUAUAGAUGGAUCCGCGCUGCAUUAGCUAGUUGGUAAGGUAACGGCUUACCAAGGCAACGAUGCAUAGCCGACCUGAGAGGGUGAUCGGCCACACUGGAACUGAGACACGGUCCAGACUCCUACGGGAGGCAACAGUAGGGAAUCUUCCGCAAUGGGCGAAAGCCUGACGGAGCAACGCCGCGUGAGUGAUGAAGGUCUUCGGAUCGUAAAACUCUGUUAUUAGGGAAGAACAUAUGUGUAAGUAACUGUGCACAUCUUGACGGUACCUAAUCAGAAAGCCACGGCUAACUACGUG